GAAGGGUGCAAGCGUUACUCGGAAUUACUGGGCGUAAAGCGUGCGUAGGUGGUUCGUUAAGUCUGAUGUGAAAGCCCUGGGCUCAACCUGGGAAUGGCAUUGGAAACUGGCGACCUAGAGUGCGGUAGAGGGUAGUGGAAUUCCCGGUGUAGCAGUGAAAUGCGUAGAGAUCGGGAGGAACAUCUGUGGCGAAGGCGACUGCCUGGACCAGCACUGACACUGAGGCACGAAAGCGUGGGGAGCAAACAGGAUUAGAUACCCUGGUAGUCCACGCCCUAAACGAUGCGAACUGGAUGUUGGGUGCAACUAGGCACUCAGUAUCGAAGCUAACGCGUUAAGUUCGCCGCCUGGGGAGUACGGUCGCAAGACUG
rnacentral:rRNA from 1 species